AAAUGCAAUGCAUUAUUUUUUUCUGGGAUAAACCUGUAACCUGCUAUCUUCAGCAAAUGGAGAGUAUAAGCACUGUCUGCUCAUUGCUUAGUACUCUGCAAGUAUCACGGUUUGUAGGCAGAGAAAUGGAGUACUGCUAAUUAUUAAAUCAUCCUGUGGUUUCUGUGGGGAUCCAGAACUAUGCAUCUACCUGUGUGUUAAAAUAUCUAACGAUAUAAACCCAGUACCUACAACUGUAAUGGUCACAGAGUUGCUGACUGGGAAUCUCCUACAUUAGAGGUUCUCCUGGAGCACUUUCCCUCAAGGAAGGCUCAGUGGGAAUCUGUAUACAAUGACAGACAGGCUUUAUUCUUGCCUUAUGUCUGUUUUAAGAUAUUUUAAUUAAAUUAAGAGCCUCUCUUGCAGAAGAAGUUAAGUAUCAUUCACACACUGGGCAAGAUCUCUCUGCAGAGAGAGCCUCUCACUGCAAGCAGUGGUGGUGUCAAAUGAUGUCUGGAUGCCCGAGAGCUGGUGCUGACCACCUGGUUUCCCAAACAAGAAAAUGACUAAUUGAUACAGCUUUUGCUUUAAUCAGGUGUCAGGGUGGAAGUGUGAUGAUAAGUACAUUUUCUCUGUGGCUGUGCCAGUACUUCCUUGUCAAAAAGUACACCCACUCUGAUUGUAAUGAGGAGGCAUCGUAAAUCAGUUACAGUUAAAGUGAAGGUGAGUUUAAUUUGGCUGAGAGACAGGAUGCAAUGGUUAUGUACAAGUGGAGCCUUCCUGAGAGGUUGAGUUACUUCACACUAGAAAACAUCUUGUUUUGUUUUUUGUUUUGUUUUUAAAAAAUAUUUUUAAGUGGAAAGUCAAAAAGUGGAGCUCUAGCCAGCUGUACCACUGCUGUGUCAGAUCCAUGGAUUUAGUUUCCUUGAGAAUUGUCUUUUGCACCUUUAAAGUAUGCUUGUUUUGCAGUUUUCUCUUGAAAAGGGAAUUAUCAAAGGUGACAGCUUUUCAACAUUUAUGAAAUGUUUUCUAUGCAGGGUUUCACUUCCCUGUGAAAUGUUCUUGGGGGUAAAAACACUUCAUCAAUUACAGCAGAACAAGGAAAACUGCAGCUUUCUUGAAAUUGGAAGAAAUGAGUUCGUAAGUCCAUGAACUCAGGGAAGAGCUCUUUCAAGACUAGGAGAAUAUACCUGCUUUAUAUUUCACAGAAACCUGCAGUCAGAAGAGUGCUAACUGCACAUGGUGCAAAGGAGAAAUGCUGUAACCCCCUUUGUGAUACUAGAUUAGCAACCUAAUGCCCUGCCAGAGCAUUGCCCUUGUCUGUUAGAGGUGUGGCAUAACUUCAUGAGCAGAAGAAUGGAAAUUAAUAGGUGCUAAAUUCAUUUUGACAUGGAUGAUGUGUGUGAUUCACAGAGAGAAAACUGCAGACAUAAUGUAUUCAGGAAAUACAGCAAAGCAGUCAGAGCUCGGAGGCAUAUGGAGCAUAUUUAGAUGUCAGCAUCUCUGUCAAGUUUCAAUAACAUGUACUGUAGCUGAAAAUGAAAAUGGGCAAGUUCUUCCCUAACUAGAAGUUUGUUGGACACAUUGAGGACAGGAUUCGGAGUUUACUAGACAUAAUUAUUCUGUUCUAGCUGUGCAGUGCAGGCAGCAGUAGCUGGACCAGAUGUAGUGACGGUGAAACUCUAGAGAGUGACAGAAACCUCGACAGAUAGAGUCCAACCGAGGUAAACUCACAGCGUGUUUUCAUGCCUGUAUUGAUGUGCGUCUUCAGAUACUAAUUUUCUUCUCUGAGUCUAACAGAUUAUUUCUAUGGGCUCUCUUUCAUUAUGAACUUACCUGAGUAACAAAGGCUUUUUCAGGAGUAUGUAGAUUACUGAAUUAUGAACAGUUUCUACUAGGAGAUUCCACCUUUUUGCCAAGUAAAACGUGCAGUAGUUAAAUUUCCACGAAAUAUGUUGUUGCACUUUAUCAGGGCAGAUAAUCAUUUCAGGCCAACCACCAUGAAAAUUUACAAAUUCUUUUGGAGUGGCCCAGAGUUUCCCUGGCAAAGUGAUAACGAAGAUAAACACUGUUGUUAUUAAAUAUAUAUCAAUUUUUAAGUGAAAAAUAAUCCAUAGGGAACGUAUUCUGAAGGAUAACAUUAUGAAAAUUGAUCUUAAAAAAAAAAAAAUAGUGGUUAAGUUUUUCUGGGAGUGGAGGGUUUGGGGUUUUUUUCAGCUUUCUCUUCAUCUUCUUCUCCUUCUCUCUCUCUCUCUGUCUCUCUCCUUUUCUUUUCAUUUCCUGGCACUUAACCCUUCUUGGAGGAGGUUGGUGUGACAUUACGUGUACAUCUAAAACUCUGCUGACAACAACUCCUCUAAUACUGAUUUAUCCUUUCUAGUAUCUCAAGUCAAAGUGUUUCAGGUUUACAGAGGAUCGCUUCUCUCCAGGAUCAGAGGAGGGUAAGAACAGUGAGCAGCUGAAGUCAAAUCCUGCUUUCAUUCUGAAGACUGACAUUUAGCAUAUGCGUGCAGAAGGUCUGAUUUGUGACACACAAACACACAGGGCUUGGACAUUUCCAAGAUGUGACAGAGCCUCCAGGCAAGAACUGAAGGGUGGUCCUCUGCCAGGCCAGAGCUGCUGCCCAGGAAAAACAAGUGACAAAGUGCAGGAGAAAUAGGAUUUAAACAACAGUUUCUACACUGAGUAAGAGCUCCAUUUACUACAUCUGCUUUGAAACACUCUCGGAUAUUUGUUACUGGAGCACGUGUGGAUCUUCUGCAGCGAGUUUCCUAACUGCUUGGCAAGGGACAGGAGCAACGUCUGUUAAAAAUUAACUAGCAACUGAGAUAAACUGCAUAUAAACAGCUCCGGGAGCAUGGUGAUUUCAUCAGUAUCUGAUCUACUUGUUUGUCUCAGAGCUACCCAAGUUCUUUUUAAUGUUUUAGGUUUUCUCUGCUUUCUGCCCUGCAGCCUUCUAGAUGCCCUGCUCAGCCGUUCCAUCAGGACAGAAAGGCAGAUGAGUUUCUCUGAACAGCUGAGAGGAUUCACUGUAAUCACAAGCAAGGUGUUUUGCAUGGUAUGAAGGAAGGACCUGAUCCUGCUCUGCAGAAGCCAUUGGCAGCAGGGUCCUGGUCAGGUAAAUGGGGUGCAUGAUGUAAGCAUUUCCCCGCUUCUCUCAUCUCCCACGUGGGUGAGUUUACUUUCCUGAUUUUCAGCAAUAAUAAACAGGGGAGUGGAGAGGUGCACAAACUCCUUCCAACAGCCAGUUUGUGCAGUCCAUGUGCAUCCCGUACGGGAAUUGCUGCCCUGCCACUGACACGAGGCCGGUU